GGCAGGUAACUUCCGCUCUUGAGAAAAUUCUGGAAGAAUACAACAGCAUAUACCGUGAGUGGACAAACAUUCAGUACAAUCCGAUCGACCCGGACGCAGAAAAUUCUCAGUUUCAAAGAGACCGUUUAAGUUUCAAGGCGAAAACUGAUGUAAUAGAGCGCAUGGUUUCAUUUCAGUUUAAGAAAGCUCUUGAAGACACACAUGAUUUGCUUUUAGUAGGCUCUUGGAUUAAGUGAGCUUCACACGGAUGAUUGCUUUCCAAAGCUUUCCGGUGCUAUUCCAUUUCUUAAAAAACUUAAGUAAGUUUGCACAAGGAGCACGAACUUUACGAAUAUCCACUUUUUGACAACGAACGCGGAGGAU
rnacentral:sRNA from 1 species